UACGGAGGGUGCAAGCGUCGCUCGGAAUUAUUGGGCGUAAAGGGUAGGUAGGUGGUCUUAUUUGUGUGGGGUGAAAGCCUUGGGCUUAACUCAAGAAGUGCCCCGCAAACGGUAAGACUGGAGUCUUGGAGAGGCUAGCGGAAUUCCCGGUGUAGCGGUGAAAUGCGUAGAGAUCGGGAGGAACACCAGAGGCGAAGGCGGCUAGCUGGACAAGCACUGACACUCAACUACGAAAGCGUGGGGAGCAAACAGG
rnacentral:rRNA from 1 species